UGCGUAGGGGGCAAGCGUUAUCCGGAAUUACUGGGUGUAAAGGGAGCGUAGACGGUAAUGUAAGUCUGGAGUGAAAGGCGGGGGCCCAACCCCCGGACUGCUCUGGAAACUAUGUUACUAGAGUGCAGGAGAGGUAAGCGGAAUUCCUAGUGUAGCGGUGAAAUGCGUAGAUAUUAGGAGGAACACCAGUGGCGAAGGCGGCUUACUGGACUGUAACUGACGUUGAGGCUCGAAAGCGUGGGGAGCAAACAGG
rnacentral:rRNA from 1 species